ACAUUGCAUUUUAUAUGUUCAAUAUACAUACAUACACAAAUUCCCUCAUUCCCAAAUUCCACUCUUAACCUUAUGUAUUUGUAAUCCACAUCAUCACUGCUGUGAAAAAAGAAAAAGAAGUAUCUUGAAACAUACUUAUAUAUAUGCUCAGAAAAAUUCCCUCAUUCCCAUCAUCACUCUUAACCUUAUACACAAAUUCCCUCAUUCCCAAAAUCCACUCUUAACUUUAUAAUUAUGCUCAGAAAAAACACACAAACACA
rnacentral:lncRNA from 1 species